rnacentral:rRNA from 1 species
GGGGAGGCGGCAAAUAUCCUUUGAUCCGGAGAUGUCUGAAUGGGGGAACCCACCUACUUUAAGGUAGGUAUUGCAACAUGAAUACAUAGUGUUGCAAGGCGAACGAGGGGAAGUGAAACAUCUCAGUACCCUUAGGAAAAGAAAUCAAUUGAGAUUCCCUCAGUAGCGGCGAGCGAACGGGGAUCAGCCCAUUAAGUUAUGUGUGUUUUAGUGGAACGCUCUGGGAAGUGCGAACGUAGAGGGUGAUAUUCCCGUACACGAAAGGGCACACAUAAUGAUGACGAGUAGGGCGAGGCACGUGAAACCUUGUCUGAAUAUGGGGGGACCAUCCUCCAAGGCUAAAUACUCCUGACUGACCGAUAGUGAACCAGUACCGUGAGG